rnacentral:ncRNA from 1 species
AUACGAUAAAGGCAAAACUAAUGAAAAUUAGUGACGCAAAGCUAAAUGGGCUAAGGCGAAUUGUUCGCUAUGCCUGCCAGUUACCAAA